rnacentral:rRNA from 1 species
GACGAACGCUGGCGGCGUGCCUAAUACAUGCAAGUCGAGCGGACCGAAGGGAGCUUGCUCCUUUAGGUUAGCGGCGGACGGGUGAGUAACACGUGGGCAACCUGCCCUGCAGACUGGGAUAACUUCGGGAAACCGGAGCUAAUACCGGAUAACACCGAAAACCGCAUGGUUUUCGGUUGAAAGGCGGCUUUUAGCUGUCACUGCAGGAUGGGCCCGCGGCGCAUUAGCUAGUUGGUGAGGUAACGGCUCACCAAGGCGUCGAUGCGUAGCCGACCUGAGAGGGUGACCGGCCACGCUGGGACUGAGGCACGGCCCAGACUCCUACGGGAGGCAGCAGUAGGGAAUCUUCCGCAAUGGACGAAAGUCUGACGGAGCAACGCCGCGUGAGCGAAGAAGGUCUUCGGAUCGUAAAGCUCUGUUGUCAGGGAAGAACAAGUACCGUUCGAAUAGGGCGGUACCUUGACGGUACCUGACGAGGAAGCCACGGCUAACUACGUGCCAGCCGCCGCCGUAA